GUCGCACACCCUUCACCACAGACAGAGGACCAAUCCACCUCUUUCUGGUAUACUGAGAAAUGUUUCUGAGCUCUUCCUUUUCCCUGAAUAAGAGUGAAAAUAGCAGGUGAGCUGGGGCCAAAGACUUAAACUGGGCACUGCAGGCUGUGGGCCUCAGUAAUGGGAUGUGCUCAGAGCGCAUGAUGGAUGCCUUCUCCUCUCCAUCUUGUCAGCAGAUCUCGGACUGCGUGUAUAACCUCAUUUGGGGAUAAUAUCAAGAGCCCAUAUCUGAGCCCUUUAAAGAGAAGUCUUCUGGACUAACUAAGGAUCCCUCCAGGGUCUUCCUGGGCUUCUGGGAAACCCAGGGACCAACCACAAACUGCUCCACUCCCACCAAGGAUGAGCACCAGGCUUCCCUGCUGGCUCAGGGGUGAAGAAUCUGCCUGCCAGUUCAGGAGACAUAGGUUCAAUCUCUAAUCUGGGAAGACCCCACAUGCCCUGGGGCAACUAAGCCCGGGCACCACACUAUUGAGCCUGUCCUCUAGGACCCAGGAGUCACAAGUACUGAGCCCAUGUACCACAACUAUUGAAGCCUGCAUGCCCUAGAGCCUGUGCUCCACAAUAAGAGAAGCUACCACACGGACAAACCCAAGCGCCACAGCUAGAGAGUAGCCCCAACUCACUGCAACUAGAGAAAAACCAGCACAGCA
ensembl:lncRNA